rnacentral:rRNA from 1 species
AUUGAACGCUGGCGGCAGGCCUAACACAUGCAAGUCGAACGGUAACAGGAAACAGCUUGCUGUUUCGCUGACGAGUGGCGGACGGGUGAGUAAUGUCUGGGAAACUGCCUGAUGGAGGGGGAUAACUACUGGAAACGGUAGCUAAUACCGCAUAACGUCGCAAGACCAAAGAGGGGGACCCUCGGGCCUCUUGCCAUCGGAUGUGCCCAGAUGGGAUUAGCUUGUUGGUGGGGUAACGGCUCACCAAGGCGACGAUCCCUAGCUGGUCUGAGAGGAUGACCAGCCACACUGGAACUGAGACACGGUCCAGACUCCUACGGGAGGCAGCAGUGGGGAAUAUUGCACAAUGGGCGCAAGCCUGAUGCAGCCAUGCCGCGUGUAUGAAGAAGGCCUUCGGGUUGUAAAGUACUUUCAGCGGGGAGGAAGGGAGUAAAGUUAAUACCUUUGCUCAUUGACGUUACCCGCGGAAGAAGCACCGGCUAACUCCGUG